rnacentral:rRNA from 1 species
AGUGAACGCUGGCGGUAGGCCUAACACAUGCAAGUCGAACGGCAGCACAGUAAGAGCUUGCUCUUACGGGUGGCGCGUGGCGGACGGGUGAGGAAUACAUCGGAAUCUACUUUUUCGUGGGGGAUAACGUAGGGAAACUUACGCUAAUACCGCAUACGACCUACGGGUGAAAGCAGGGGAUCUUCGGACCUUGCGCGAUUGAAUGAGCCGAUGUCGGAUUAGCUAGUUGGCGGGGUAAAGGCCCACCAAGGCGACGAUCCGUAGCUGGUCUGAGAGGAUGAUCAGCCACACUGGAACUGAGACACGGUCCGGACUCCUACGGGAGGCAGCAGUGGGGAAUAUUGGACAAAGGGCGCAAGCCUGAUCCAGCCAUACCGCGUGGGUGAAGAAGGCCUUCGGGUUGUAAAGCCCUUUUGUUGGGAAAGAAAAGCAGCAGGUUAAUACCCCGCUGUUCUGACGGUACCCAAAGAAUAAGCACCGGCUAACUUCGUG